rnacentral:rRNA from 1 species
AUUGAACGCUGGCGGCAGGCCUAACACAUGCAAGUCGAGCGAGCGGCGGACGGGUGAGUAAUGUCUGGGAAACUGCCUGAUGGAGGGGGAUAACUACUGGAAACGGUAGCUAAUACCGCAUACCAUCAGAUUUGCUCAGAUGGAAUUAGCUAGUGGGUGGGGUAAUGGCUCACCUAGGCUACGAUCCCUAGCUGGUCUGAGAGGAUGACCAGCCACACUGGAACUGAGACCAGGUCCAGACUCCUACGGGAGGCAGCAGUGGGGAAUAUUGCACAAGGGCAGCAAGCCUGAUGCAGCCAUGCCGCGUGUAUGAAGAAGGCCUUCGGGUUGUAAAGUACUUUCAGCGAGGAGGCGUUACUCGCAGAAGAAGCACCGGCUAACUCCGUGCCAGCAGCCGCGGUAAUUC